GUGCUCACUUCAGCAGCACAUAUACUAAAACCGGAACAAUACGGAGAAAAUUAGCAUGGUCCCAUGCGAGGAUUAUUAUUAUUAUUAUUAUUAUUAACACUUAUGU
rnacentral:snRNA from 1 species